AAAACACGUCUUACUCUCGAUUCUGCUGCCUGAAGUGCCCUGCGCUUCUGCAGCAACUCCUUGACUGUGGUUUUCACCCGCACACCCUGGUACACUUUAGGUUUGUCUGGGGAUAAAGAGAAAAACACAAAAGUAAAAUCACUCCGUGUCCCGCAUUCCAUGAACACAUAUAACACAUCUAUUUAUUUAUUUAUUUAUUUAUUUAAUACUUUUAUUAAUUUAUUUAUUCAUUAGUGUAUUUAUUAAUUAAUUACUUUUUUUUAAAUGUUACAUUUUUUUUCCAGUUACAUUUUUUUUUAUUUUUUGAUACUAUCCAUUUUAAACUUUUUUUUUUUUUUUUUUUUUUUUUUUGUUAAAGUAUCGACCUAACAUUUGAUUUACAGAGUUUAUUUACCUAGUGCAGCAGUCAUUCAGUAGUUCUUUGUAGCAGAGGCGCCAGGUAAUUGUUUAAACGCUGCGCAUUACAAUAAGCGAACGUGCAAACAUGCGGAUAUUUUGCCACAAAUGUGAUUUUGAGCUGAUGUAUUUUUUAUGCAUUUGAUAAGACCUUUGAUAAAAGUCUAAACUAUAGUUUUGGGCAAAAAAAAUAAAAGAAAUGAAAUAAAAUAAAAUCAGCAUUUCUGAAACCAGCCAGCACCCUGCAUGCGGUGACUAGUGGUGCAAAGGUGAUACGGAGACAUGUUAAGUGCAGGGAACAGCACCGCACCCCACCCAGGAAACACAACUAAAUCCCGCAUGUAAUAUGGAGUGGGAGAGAAAUCUCAAGCGCCGUGCGUUAGAAUCUUAUCAAAACACUACGGUCCCAAAGGAAAAAGAAUAAAAUGAGAAGAAAGAAAGAAAGAAAGAAGAAGAAGAUUGACUCACCAGACAUUUUUGGCGUGAAGAGCAGCAGGACCCAGUGAAACACCCCAAAGCGCCUGUUCUUGGCUCUAUUAUAUGGGCAAGAACGAAAUAUUGAUAAAAUUGCCACAAAGUCUCAAUCUAUCACCUUCACAACACUCUCACUAUAUACAAUUAUGCAGUAAUAUAGCCAGGGAAGCAUUAGUUUGAGUUUUUCUCCCCUCAUCCCUACUAUUUAAAGUCCCAAGAACUCAAUGAUUUGACAAUGAUUUGAUUGCGCGAUACUUUCAAUUUGAAUAUUCAAAGACUUCGCAAAAAUACUUAUAUCUUAGCUAUAUUCGCCAUCAGAGCGCAUGUAAGAGUGUCCACUUUAAUAGAAUAUUACAUCAUUUCACAAUUUGACACAAAAAUAAAAAUAUAUUUUUGACAUUUUAUCACCCUUUUGAUAUUGAUGCCAAGAGGCUGGCUGUGAAGCUCUCUUUGCACUUUACAGUGUCAUUUAACGAGCAAAUGUCACUUCAAACAUCAUACAACACUAUACAUAUAUCAUACAGUGCAAAAGUAUAUUAAAAAAAAAUAAGAAAUUACAUAUUCUGUGGCUUGACUGUAGACCAUUUUUACAGAAAUGUAGACAUGGUGGGCGUGGCAUAUAGUGGCAGCCAUUUUGACCAUCAGAGCAUGGAGAGCUUGUGCUCUGGCAUGAACUUAACACUUGUUAACACUUCUAGAAUGAAUAUUAUUGUAGUAGUGAUCAUAUGUAACUUGAAUUUUAGAUGAAUUCUGCCAAAUCUGCAAGUAUUUUGUAGAAGUUUUAGGAUAGUAGGAUAUUUGUUGUAAUGUUUAUUCCAUAUAACAAAUAUUAAAAAAAAAUUUAAAUAAAAUAAAAAAUCAAAUGCUGUUGCAAUACAGAUAAUAUUAUAUGAUAUUUUGUUACACUAUUUACUAUUUUUUAUUACUAUAGGAUUUUGAAAUUAAAGCAAAAGAACGUAAAAAAUAACAAUAAUAAUAAAUGUCCAUAGUUCAUCCUAGUAUUUUAGAAUGAUUUUUUUUUAUUGUUCUGCAAUGAAAAGUCUACUAGAGUCUAAAGCUUUCCAUAUGAACCCUAAUAUCAUAUAUUAAUAUUAUCCAAUUAAUGAACUUUUAAUUAAGAUUUUCAAUAUAGGACCAAACAUUUCAAACUUAAAUGUCUACAGAAAUGUAAAUAAUUUAAACAUGAACAUUUACUAUGUGUGUUUUUUUUUUCGUUUGUCGUUUUAUUGUUUUAUUUGAUUCAUAUUUUGUAAUUAUUUGUCUUGGACCGUGAUUUAUCUUUAAGCAGCGCGGAUGCCAGACAUUUGCGUAUCACACGUUUUAUGUUUUGUGCACAUGAACUGCACCUAUAUAUAUGUAUGUAUAUCAUUAUUAUUUUAUAUAUGUAUUUUAUAUAUUAAUUUUUUCUUGUGACAUUUCACAGUAAACUUGUGUUUAAAAGUUGUCAGGCAUUAUGGGUGUUCACAGGUUACUACUACCUACCUAAAUGUCUAAUAAUGCAUUUGAGCAUAAAUAAAUAUCAUUACAAAAA